UAAUAGAUUACCUAGAGAAAUAGGUAAAAGAAAUUUCCAUCCAAGAUUUAAUAAUUGGUCCAUUCUCAGUCUCGGUAAAGUCCAUCUUGUUGCGAUAGGAAUGAACAAGAACAAAUAAGUUUUAGCUAAUGUAAUAAAGAUACCAAUUAUUGUUCCAAAGACUCUACCCCUUUUAGUAAUUUCAAAAACCUCGGGAACAAAUAUGUACGGAAUAGAAAGAUUCCAACCCCCCAAGUAAAGAACUGUUACAAAUAAUGAAGAAACUAGUAGAUUUAAAUAUGAAGCAACGUAAAAUAAACCAAAUUUUAUACCGGAAUAUUCGGUUUGAUAACCUGCUACUAAUUCUUCUUCUGCUUCUGGUAAAUCAAAGGGUAAUCGUUCACACUCGGCUAGGGAAGAAAUUAGAAAAACUAGAAAGCCUAUAGGUUGACGCCACAAAUUCCAUCCCCAAAAACCAUAUUUUGACUGCGCUUCAACUAUAUCAACUGUACUUGAACUGUUAGAUAAUCAUAGUGGAUGAUAACAUCACUGUUCCCAUCCCUAUUCCAGAACCGUACAUGAGAUUUUCAUCUCAUACGGCUCCUCAAAGGUCACAAAUAAAUCUAAGGACCCGUCCAUUAUUAUUUUUCUUGAUAUGUUUGUAGGAUAUAUAGAGAGAAAAUCAAAUCCAUUGUAAGGUCCCCAUUAGACACUGGAAUUCUGUUUGCUAUAUUUAUAAUAAAGUGCUUCUGAAUUCAUCUUAUCUUUUAAUAAUUUAAAUUCUUCUUUGUUGAGUAAUAACUUAAUCCUUGAAUAAAAUGUUUCUUGUAGCAAUAUCCAUAGAUAUUUCAACCUAACGUUUUUAAUUACGAAAUCAAAUUAGACGUUGCAUUAGUUCACGAAUUAUGACAAGCAUUCUAUCUCUAUAUAGAGAAAGAAAAAAGAUAUUUUUUUCUAGUGUAAUUCCAUUAAGUCUUUCGAGUUUUUUCGUUCCUAUUCUCCUUUCUCAAAAAGGGGGACGUUAAACAAAGUUAAAGGAUUACUUCGUUCUUGAUAGUUAUUUACUUAAUCGGUGAAUAGAAGUAUACUCUGGAUCGGAAUCGUGGGAAGUACUCCUUGAUCAUUUCUACCAAUUUAAAGCCCCAAUUAGAAUUCUUUUUAUCCAGAGAAAAAUAGACUUACAUAAUCUCUAUUACGAAUCCUUUGUGUACCUUAGUGUUCCUAGCUAUCCACUCAUUUUUAUCAAUCUACUUUAGGGUAAUACAUAUGGUAAUAGAUAGUAAAAACCCCAUAAAGUUGAUCUUUUGAACCCGCGUCAAGUUAUGAUCACUAAUCAAUUAAUCUUGGGGUAAACAGUCUCUAAUACUUAUGUUUACUUUUCUUAACUCUUGUACAUAGGAAAUGAGAUUCAAUAUUUUACUGCAAAUUGAUAAGCCGUUUCUUUCACUCAUAUAACUAUCUGGUUUUCUUCAUCAACCCCCGAAUAAUGAAUAAAAAACGAAAAUAGAUAUUCAAAUCAUGACACUUCUUUCCUAGAAAGAAAAGAAGUAGGGGGCAAUUUAUGUCUUAACGAAUCACACGUAGAGAUAUUGAUAACACACAUAGAGUUAAUGGUAUUUCGUAACUAAUUGAUUGAGCAGCAGCUCGUAGACCACCUAAAAAAGAAUAUUUAUUAUUUGAGCCAUAUCCUGACAUAAGAAGGCCGACAGGAGCAAUGCUUGAAAUAGCA
rnacentral:lncRNA from 1 species